UUUUUAUUGUCCUCAAAUAUGUGUUUGGAUCCUAGAUGGAUUUGUGAUGAAAAUUUUUAAUAUCAUGGAUAUUUUUAGGGGCGUGACAGAGGUGGUAUCAGAGCAUGAUUUGAGGAUCACUGAAAUAUUUGAUAUGUUGACGUGCAAAAUAUAUUGAGGUCUAGUGAACUAUAGUGAUCGGUGGAAAUUUUCUUUGAUGCAUUUUAGGAAUCUAGGAUGACGAGGACAUUU
rnacentral:lncRNA from 1 species